GCUGCGAGCGGGCGGGUGCCAGACGCACCUGGUGCGCUGCGUGAACCUGACGCCGGUGGCCACCGCGCUGUGCUGGGAAACGGACAAACAAUGUAAUGACGUACUGAAGGUGACGUUUUCUCCCGUGGAGAGCGAGAUCGAUGCCUUUGCCACGGUCUUGAUUCAGGUGAAGCUGAGCGCGGCGGCGGCGUGCGGGCGACGCGUGCGGGCGUACCGCGCGGCCGUGCGCCACUCAGCCACGCCACUAUAUCUGCUGCUCGACACCGCCGUCGACGGACGAAAAGUUAGUGUCGACAUCCCUACUGGCGAUGAUGGCGAUUCACUGGCGACCGUCACUACGAGUGAACGCGGCGUCACACCGUGGGGCUGUGACUUCGCGACCCCGCUCUCACCGGAGGAGAUAUUUACUGAUUUCGAACAAAUUCGUAUAAAAAUGAAUGGUAAAUAAUUAUAUUUUUUAAUUUCCACCUGACCGAUACGCUCCGGCGCGGAGAGGGGACAUCAACACGGUACGUUCACCACCGAGGAUUCAAUUGUCUUAAAAAUUGCACUUUCAAACAAAUGUGUCUUAAACCCGGUUCACAUUAUUCCAGUUCAUCCAGCUAAAAAGAAUAUCUUAGUAAUAUACAAGUUCCAGGAAUAAUUGGUUCAUUUUUGUUUGCACGCCCGCCCGGCAUAAACGCCCGGC